rnacentral:rRNA from 1 species
AACGCUAGCUACAGGCUUAACACAUGCAAGUCGCGGGGCAGCAUUUCCUUAGCUUGCUAAGGAAGAUGGCGACCGGCGCACGGGUGAGUAACGCGUAUCCAACCUUCCCAUGUCCACGGGAUAGCCCGUCGAAAGGCGGAUUAAUACCGUAUGAGGUCACAUGCGGGCAUCUAAGUGUGACGAAAGGUUUUGCGGACAUGGAUGGGGAUGCGUCCGAUUAGCUAGUUGGCGGGGUAACGGCCCACCAAGGCGACGAUCGGUAGGGGUUCUGAGAGGAAGGUCCCCCACAUUGGAACUGAGACACGGUCCAAACUCCUACGGGAGGCAGCAGUGAGGAAUAUUGGUCAAUGGACGCAAGUCUGAACCAGCCAAGUAGCGUGCAGGAUGACGGCCCUAUGGGUUGUAAACUGCUUUUAUGCGAGGAUAAAGUGUGGGACGUGUCCCAUAUUGUAGGUACCGCAUGAAUAAGGACCGGCUAAUUCCGUGCCAGCAGCCGCGGUAAUACGGAAGGUCCGGGCGUUAUCCGGAUUUAUUGGGUUUAAAGGGAGCGUAGGCCGUCGUUUAAGCGUGUUGUGAAAUGCCGCGGCUCAACCGUGGCACUGCAGCGCGAACUGGGGGGCUUGAGUGCACGCAACGCAGGCGGAAUUCGUGGUGUAGCGGUGAAAUGCUUAGAUAUCACGAAGAACUCCGAUUG